rnacentral:rRNA from 1 species
UCGACCUCGGAUCAGGUAGGGAUACCCGCUGAACUUAAGCAUAUCAAUAAGC